GACGAACGCUGGCGGCGUGCCUAAUACAUGCAAGUAGAACGCUGAAGCGAGGAGCUUGCUCUUCUUGGAUGAGUUGCGAACGUGUGAGUAACGCGUAGGUAACCUGCCUUGUAGCGGGGGAUAACUAUUGGAAACGAUAGCUAAUACCGCAUAACAAUGGAUGACACAUGUCAUUUAUUUGAAAGGGGCAAUUUCUCCACUACAAGAUGGACCUGCGUUGUAUUAGCUAGUAGGUGAGGUAAUGGCUCAACUAGGCGACGAUACAUAGCCGACCUGAGAGGGUGAGCGGCCAAACUGGGACUGAGACAGGGCCCAGACGCCUACGGGAGGCAGCAGGAGGGAAACUUGGGGAAGGGGGGCAAAACAGAGCGAGAAAAGCCGCGGGAGUGAAGAAGGUUGUCGGAUCGUAAAGCUCUGUUGUAAGUCAAGAAAGGGUGUGAGAGUGGAAAGUUCACAGUGUGACGGUAGCUUACAAGAAAGGGACGGCUAACUACGUG
rnacentral:rRNA from 1 species